rnacentral:rRNA from 1 species
UACGAAGGGGGCUAGCGUUGCUCGGAUUUACUGGGCGUAAAGGGCGCGUAGGCGGAUGACCAAGUUGGGGGUGAAAUCCCGGGGCUUAACCUCGGAACUGCCUCCAAAACUGGUCGUCUUGAGUUUGGGAGAGGUGUGUGGAACUCCGAGUGUAGAGGUGAAAUUCGUAGAUAUUCGGAAGAACACCAGUGGCGAAGGCGACACACUGGCCCAAUACUGACGCUGAGGCGCGAAAGCGUGGGGAGCAAACAGGACUAGAUCCCUAGUAGUCC